UGGGGAAUAUUGCACAAUGGGCGAAAGCCUGAUGCAGCAACGCCGCGUGAGCGAUGAAGGCCUUCGGGUCGUAAAGCUCUGUCCUCAAGGAAGAUAAUGACGGUACUUGAGGAGGAAGCCCCGGCUAACUACGUGCCAGCAGCCGCGGUAAUACGUAGGGAGCUAGCGUUAUACGGAAUUACUGGGCGUAAAGGGUGCGUAGGUGGUUUCUUAAGUCAGAGGUGAAAGGCUACGGCUCAACCGUAGUAAGCCGUUGAAACUGGGAAACUUGAGUGCAGGAGAGGAGAGGGGAAUUCCUAGUGUAGCGGUGAAAUGCGUAGAUAGUAGGAGGAACACCGGUUGCGAAGGCGGCUCUGUGGACUGUAACUGACACUGAGGCACGAAAGCGUGGGGAGCAAACA
rnacentral:rRNA from 1 species